UUGGUUGGCUUAUUGCCGUGAGGGACACUUUGAGUUGUCGAGGUUGGGUAGCUUGUAUAAGAGUGGUUGCCGUGAGGUUCUUGGAGCAUCUUGGUGUUGGAUUAUUGCCGUGAGUAUUCGGUGAGACCCUUGGUAUUUGGGUUGGUUGCCGUGAACCUUAGGUGCAAGGUUGGUGACCGUGAGAUCCUUGGGACAGUUUGAGAGGCUGACUUG
rnacentral:misc_RNA from 1 species